CGACCGGCGCACGGGUGCGUAACGCGUAUGCAACCUACCUUUAACAGGGGAUAACACUGAGAAAUUGGUACUAAUACCCCAUAAUAUCAUAGAAGGCAUCUUUUAUGGUUGAAAAUUCCGAUGGUUAGAGAUGGGCAUGCGUUGUAUUAGCUAGUUGGUGGGGUAACGGCUCACCAAGGCGACGAUACAUAGGGGGACUGAGAGGUUAACCCCCCACACUGGUACUGAGGCACGGACCAG
rnacentral:rRNA from 1 species